AAUGAGCUUUCCUUAGUAUGUGCCAUUUCUGAGUCUAUAGCUUUAGAGGAGGAGAGAGGGCAGCAAGGUGGAGGCUGGGGGUGUGGCUUUGACCAAUUGCCACUUUACUCGUUUGAAAGCAAUGAUGUCUCUCUCUCUGGGCGGGCCAAAUUCUCUGGGCGGGUAAAGCAGAGAAAGGGGAGGUAAGCUUGCUCCUUAUG